UACGAGAGGGUGCGAGCGUUAAUCGGAAUUAGCUGGGCGUAAGCGCACGUAGGCGGCUUGGUAUGUCGGGUGUGAAAUCCCCGGGCUCAACCUGGGAACUGCAUCCGAAACUGCCUUGCUAGAGGUGAUGGGAGAGGGAAGUGGAAUUUCCGGUGUAGCGGUGAAAUGCGUAGAUAUCGGAAGGAACAUCAGUGGCGAAGGCGACUUCCUGGACCAAUACUGACGCUCAGGUGCGAAAGCG
rnacentral:rRNA from 1 species